UACGUAGGGAGCAAGCGUUGUCCGGAAUCAUUGGGCGUAAAGCGCGCGUAGGUGGCCAUGUAAGUCCGCUGUGAAAGUCAAAGGCUCAACCUUUGAAAGCCGGUGGAUACUGCAUGGCUAGAGUACGGAAGAGGCGAGUGGAAUUCCUGGUGUAGCGGUGGAAUGCGCAGAUAUCAGGAGGAACACCAAUAGCGAAGGCAGCUCGCUACGCGGUUAUUGACACUGAGGCACGAAAGCGUGGGGAUCAAACAGG
rnacentral:rRNA from 1 species